rnacentral:rRNA from 1 species
GACGAACGCUGGCGGCGUGCUUAACACAUGCAAGUCGAACGGAAAGGCCCUGCUUUUGUGGGGUGCUCGAGUGGCGAACGGGUUAGUAACACGUGAGUAACCUGCCCUUGACUUUGGGAUAACUUCAGGAAACUGGGGCUAAUACCGGAUAGGAGCUCCUGCUGCAUGGUGGGGGUUGGAAAGUUUCGGCGGUUGGGGAUGGACUCGCGGCUUAUCAGCUUGUUGGUGGGGUAGUGGCUUACCAAGGCUUUGACGGGUAGCCGGGCUGAGAGGGUGACCGGGCCAAAUAGGACGGGGAUGAGGCCCAGACCGGUAAGGGAGGGAAGGGGGGGGAAAAGUGUAAAAUGGGGGGGAGGCAGGAGGGAGCAAGGCGGGUGGGGGAUGAAGGGCUUCGGGUUGGAAACCGACUUCGGCUGGGAAGGAACGUGGGUGACGGUAAAGGGAAAAGAAGCACCGGCUAACUACGUG